UUUUCCAAGAUUACUGACAGCUGACAAUAACACUAUAACAAAACUCUAUUUCCCAUGUAAACCUACCGCCUGGUUACCCUUUAACCUCUCCAAACGAUCCAAUCAUAGCCCACGUCAGCCUGGAAGUAGUUAAAGCACACUGCCCCGACAGACGGCUAUGUUGAACCAAUAGAAGYAGAGAGUCAGUGGAAGUUGCCCAAUCACAGUUGAAAGGGGCGGGACUAGUGGCCGCCAGGGCAUCCGAGGAGGAGGAGGUGUUCCUGGUAGCCAUCUUGGAUGUGCGGGGUGAUUGUUUAGCGAGAAGAAUUGACAAAUUUAUUUUAAAAACUAAGCCUUAAUAUUGAAGUGCUGAGGAUUUGUUGGAGCUUACCGACAGAGGAACUCAAUCUCAACACUGAAAAACGCAGUGAAAGAAGGCAUGAAGGCAUCAUCUUAGUCAUCAGUCAUGGCCGAUAAAAGGAAACUUCAAGGGGAAAUAGAUCGAUGUCUGAAAAAAGUAGCGGAAGGAGUGGAGCAGUUUGAAGACAUUUGGCAAAAGGUAAGACAUU